AUGGCGGCGGAGGACGUGGAGUUCGUGGACUACGAGCGGGACGACGGCGACGACGGGAUGGAGGACGAGGAGGAGGACGGGGAGGUCUCGGCCCGCGCGCUCCCCGUGCCCCACAUCGCCGCCCCCGCCGUGGCGCGCACCAGCAGGGGCCGCUUCGUCGGCCGCAGCCGCUCCGUCAUCGCCUCCACCCGCGACCGCUUCGAAUCCAUCCCCUUCGCCGGCACCUCCGCGCACGGCGGCCCGCAGCGCUCAAUUGAAGGAUGGAUAAUAAUUGUCUCAGGAGUCAAAGAAGAUGCAGAAGAAAGUGAUCUGUAUGAUGCUUUUGCUGAGUUUGGUGAGGUCAAGGACUUGCAUUUAAACCUGGAGCGCCGCACUGGAUAUGGCAAGGGAUAUGCAUUGGUUGAAUAUGGAUGUUUUGAGGAAGCACAAACUGCAAUCAGAAGUAUGAAUGGGACACAGCUGUUAACAAAGACCAUCCAUGUUGAUUGGGCAUUCAACAGAGGUCCUAUACAGAACGUCACGAGUGCACGGCCAGCACAGCGACGGUCUAGGACUCCACCUCGCAGGCUUGCUGCCAUGACAUACUGA
rnacentral:rRNA from 1 species